rnacentral:rRNA from 1 species
GACGAACGCUGGCGGCGUGCCUAAUACAUGCAAGUAGAACGCACAGUUUAUACCGUCGCUUGCUUCAACAUAGACAGGGAGUUGCGAACGGGUGAGUAACGCGUAGGUAACCUGCCUGGUAGCGGGGGAUGACUAUUGGUAACGAUAGCUAAUACCGCAUAAUAUUGAUUAUUGCUUGGUCAUUGAUUUAACGAUGCUGUUGCAUCACUACCAGCUGGACCUGGGUUUUAUUAGCUAGUAGGUGGGGUAACGGCCUACCAAGGCGACGUUACAUAACCGAUCUGAGAGGAUGAUCAGCCACACUGGAACUGAGACACGGCCCAGACUCCUACGGGAGGCAGCAGUGGGGAAUUUUGGCCAAUGGCCGAAAGCUUGCCCGAGCAAGGCGGCGUGGGUGAAGAAGGUCUUCGGAUUGUAAAGCCCGUUAAAAGGGGAGGAAGGGCGGUAAGUUGGUAAGUUCACGUUGUGACGGUAUCUAAACAGAAAGGAACGGCUAACUACGUG